rnacentral:snRNA from 1 species
AGGAACCGUUGAUUCGCA